rnacentral:rRNA from 1 species
GAUGAACGCUGGCGGCGUGCCUAAUACAUGCAAGUCGAGCGAACAGACGAGGAGCUUGCUCCUUCGACGUUAGCGGCGGACGGGUGAGUAACACGUAGGUAACCUACCUAUAAGACUGGGAUCACUUCGGGAAACCGGAGCUAAUACCGGAUAAUAUUUCGAACCGCAUGGUUCGAUAGUGAAAGAUGGCUUUGCUAUCACUUAUAGAUGGACCUGCGCCGUAUUAGCUAGUUGGUAAGGUAACGGCUUACCAAGGCAACGAUACGUAGCCGACCUGAGAGGGUGAUCGGCCACACUGGAACUGAGACACGGUCCAGACUCCUACGGGAGGCAGCAGUAGGGAAUCUGCCGCAAUGGGCGAAAGCCUGACGGAGCAACGCCGCGUGAGUGAUGAAGGUCUUCGGAUCGUAAAACUCUGUUAUUAGGGAAGAACAAACGUGUAAGUAACUGUGCACGUCUUGACGGUACCUAAUCAGAAAGCCACGGCUAACUACGUG